GACGAACGCUGGCGGCGUGCUUAACACAUGCAAGUCGAACGGAAAGGCCCUGCUUGCAGGGUACUCGAGUUGCGAACGGGUGAGUAACACGUGGGUGAUCCGCCCUGCACUUCGGGAUAAGCCUGGGAAACUGGGUCUAAUACCGGAUAGGAGCCAUUUUUAGUGUGAUGGUUGGAAAGUUUUUUCGGUGUAGGAUGAGCUCGCGGCCUAUCAGCUUGUUGGUGGGGUAAUGGCCUACCAAGGCGGCGACGGGUAGCCGGCCUGAGAGGGUGGACGGCCACAUUGGGACUGAGAUACGGCCCAGACUCCUACGGGAGGCAGAAGUGGGGAAUAUUGCAAAAUGGGCGCAAGCCUGAUGCAGCGACGCCGCGUGGGGGAUGACGGCCUUCGGGUUGUAAAAUCCUUUCGCUAGGGACGAAGCUUUUUGUGACGGUACCUAGAUAAGAAGCACCGGCUAACUACGUG
rnacentral:rRNA from 1 species